AAGAAGUUUUAUCCUUGCUAAAUGAUCUUUUUAUUUUUGUUUUUACAUACUAUUUUUGGUCUCUAAAAGAUAAUUAUUGUAGUAAUUUUUAUUGUUUAAUCAAGUAUUUUUGGAUACAGCAAAUUUUAUAUUUCCGGUAUAUUUCGUGCCAGCAACCGCGGUUACACGAUUGGAGAAAAAGAUUAUUAUUGGUUAGUAGUCAUUUUAUUUUUUUAUUUUCUUUAAAAUUUUUAGGUGAAAUUUAUAUUUUUAUGUAAAAUAAAUUUUUAUAUCCUACGAAACUUAGAAAUUAAACUAGGAUUAGAUACCCUUUUAUUCUAAGUAUAAAUAUAAUACCUGGGUAUUAUUAGUUAUGGUCUUUAAACCCAAAGGAUUUGGCGGUAUUUUAGUCUUUUCAGAGGAACCUGUCCCGUAAUCGACAGUCCACGAUUUAACGUACUUUAAUUUGUAUAUAGUUUUUAUACCUCCGUCAUAAGAAUAUCUUUUUAGAGUUAAUUUUCUUAAUUAUUUAAUAUACAUAUGUCAGGUCAAGGUGAAGCUUAUAUUGAAGUGGAGAUGGGUUACAAUAAAAAUAUUUAUGCGAAUUUAUAUGUUUAUAUUUAUAUUGAAGUUGGAUUUGAUUGUAAAUUUGUUUUUUAGGCUUUUUGAUUUUAGCUCUAAAAUAUGCACACAUCGCCCGUCGCUCUCAUAAUAAGGUGAGAUAAGUCGUAACAAAGUAGAUGUAUCGGAAGAUGUAUCUAGAAAGUU
rnacentral:ncRNA from 1 species